rnacentral:rRNA from 1 species
AGUGAACGCUGGCGGUAGGCCUAACACAUGCAAGUCGAACGGCAGCACAGUAAGAGCUUGCUCUUACGGGUGGCGAGUGGCGGACGGGUGAGGAAUAUAGCGGAAUCUACUUUUUCGUGGGGGAUAACGUAGGGAAACUUACGCUAAUACCGCAUACGACCUACGGGUGAAAGCAGGGGAUCUUCGGACCUUGCGCGAUUGAAUGAGCCGAUGUCGGAUUAGCUAGUUGGCGGGGUAAAGGCCCACCAAGGCGACGAUCCGUAGCUGGUCUGAGAGGAUGAUCAGCCACACUGGAACUGAGACACGGUCCAGACUCCUACGGGAGGCAGCAGUGGGGAAUAUUGGACAAUGGGCGCAAGCCUGAUCCAGCCAUACCGCGUGGGUGAAGAAGGCCUUCGGGUUGUAAAGCCCUUUUGUUGGGAAAGAAAAGCAGCAGGUUAAUACCCCGCUGUUCUGACGGUACCCAAAGAAUAAGCACCGGCUAACUUCGUG